GGAGAUAGCUGGUUCUCCCCGAAAUAGCUUUAGGGCUAGCCUCGAUUUAGAUUAUUGGGGGUAGAGCACUGAAUGGGCUAGGGGGCCACAAAGCUUACUGAACCCUAUCAAACUGCGAAUACCAAUUAAUUGAUGAUCGGGAGUCAGACAGUGAGAGAUAAGUUCCAUUGUCGAAAGGGAAACAGCCCAGAUCCACGACUAAGGUCCCAAAAUACACGUUAAGUGGAAAAGGAUGUGCAGUUGCACAGACAACCAGGAUGUUGGCUUAGAAGCAGCCACUCAUUCAAAGAGUGCGUAAUAGCUCACUGGUCGAGUGAAUGUGCGCCGAAAAUAUACCGGGGCUAAACGUGAUACCGAAGUCUGGGGAUCAAGAAAUUGAUCGGUAGGGGAGCAACGCAUACGGACAGAAGCAGAAGCGGAAGCGACUGUGGACUGUAUGGGAGAGAGAAUGCCGGCAUGAGUAGCGAGAGCAAAGUGAGAAUCUUUGCCGUCGAAAGCCUAAGGUUUCCUGAGGAAGGCUCGUCCUCUCAGGGUAAGUCGGGACCUAAGCCGAGGACAAGAGUCGUAGGCGAUGGACAACAGGUUGAUAUUCCUGUACCGUACUUAAGCGUUUGACUGAAGCAGUGACACAGAAGGAUAGACAGACCGGAUGAAUGGUAGAAUCCGGCCAAGCAGUGAGGCUGACAUGUAGUGAAGUACGCAUGUUAAGGCUGGGCUGUGAUGGGGACUGAAAAUUAGUAGGGAAGCUGUUGAAUUCACACUGGCGAGAAAAGCUGCUAAGGAGCGAGAGUAUGCCCGUACCGCAAACCGACACAGGUAGGCGAGGAGAGAAUCCUAAGACGAGCGGGAGAACCCUUGUUAAGGAACUCGGCAAAAUGACUCCGUAACUUAGGGAGAAGGAGUGCCUCGAGAGAGGCCGCAGAGAAUAGGCCCAAGCGACUGUUUACCAAAAACACAGGUCUGUGCGAAGUAGAGAUACGACGUAUACGGGCUGACGCCUGCCCAGUGCCGGAAGGUUAAGGGGAAGUGUUAGGGCAACCGAAGCACGGAACUUAAGCCCCGGUGAACGGCGGCCGUAACUAUAACGGUCCUAAGGUAGCGAAAUUCCUUGUCGGGUAAGUUCCGACCCGCACGAAUGGCGUAACGACUUGGGCACUGUCUCAACAAGGGACCCGGCGAAAUUGUAGUAUGUGUGAAGAUGCACAUUACCCGCGAUAGGACGGAAAGACCCCGUAGAGCUUUACUGUAGUUUAACAUUGGAUUUUGAUAACACAUGUACAGGAUAGGUGGGAGGCUGAGAAACCGGCACGCCAGUGCCGAUGGAGCCGCUGUUGGGAUACCACUCUUGUGUUAUUGGAGUUCUAACGAAGUGCCGUAAACCGGGCUUCGGACAGUGUUAGAUGGGCAGUUUGACUGGGGCGGUCGCCUCCGAAAGAGUAACGGAGGCGUCCAAAGGUUCCCUCAGAAUGGUUGGAAACCAUUCACAGAGUGCAAAGGCAGAAGGGAGCUUGACUGCGAGACCGACAGGUCGAGCAGGUACGAAAGUAGGGCUUAGUGAUCCGGCGGUAUGAGAGUGGAAUUGCCGUCGCUCAACGGAUAAAAGCUACCUCGGGGAUAACAGGCUGAUCUCCCCCAAGAGUUCACAUCGACGGGGAGGUUUGGCACCUCGAUGUCGGCUCGUCGCAUCCUGGGGCUGGAGCAGGUCCCAAGGGUUUGGCUGUUCGCCAAUUAAAGCGGCACGCGAGCUGGGUUCAGAACGUCGUGAGACAGUUCGGUCCCUAUCCAUCGUGGGCGCAGGAGAUUUGAGAGGAGCUGUCCUUAGUACGAGAGGACCGGGAUGGACGCACCAAGGGUGAAUCAGUUGUCGUGCCAACGGCACAGCUGGGUAGCCAAGUGCGGAUCGGAUAAACGCUGAAGGCAUCUAAGCGUGAAGCCGACCUCAAGAUAAGAUCUCCCAUCCGAAAGGAGUAAGACCCCAUGAAGACCACAUGGUUGAUAGGCCGGAGGUGGAAGUGCAGUAAUGUACGGAGCUGACCGGUACUAAUAGGUCGAGGGCUUGAUCG
rnacentral:rRNA from 1 species